UACGAAGGGGGCUAGCGUUGCUCGGAAUUACUGGGCGUAAAGGGCGCGUAGGCGGACAGUUUAGUCAGAGGUAAAAGCCCAGGGCUCAACCUUGGAACUGCCUUUGAUACUGACUGUCUUGAGUUCGGGAGAGGUGAGUGGAAUGCCGAGUGUAGAGGUGAAAUUCGUAGAUAUUCGGCGGAACACCAGUGGCGAAGGCGACUCACUGGCCCGAUACUGACGCUGAUGCGCGAAAGCCAGGGGAGCAAACGGG
rnacentral:rRNA from 1 species